rnacentral:rRNA from 1 species
CCUACGGGUGGCUGCAGUAAGGAAUAUUGGUCAAUGGACGAAAGUCUGAACCAGCCAUCCCGCGUGCAGGAUGAAAGCCCUAUGGGUUGUAAACUGCUUUUAGCAGAGAAGAAAAGCUUUCAUUAAUGAGAGUCUGACAGUAUCUGCAGAAUAAGCACCGGCUAACUCCGUGCCAGCAGCCGCGGUAAUACGGAGGGUGCGAGAGUUAUCGGGGUUUACUGGGUCUAAAGGGUGGGUUGGCGGAGUAUUAGAAAUCUGGUCGCUUAACGAGAAAAUUGCCAAUGAUACUGGUACUCUUGAAUUGGGUUGAGGUUAGCGGAAUGUGACAUGUAGCGGUGAAAUGCAUAGAUAUGUCAUGGAACACCAAUUGCGAAGGCAGCUAACUGGGCCUUGAUUGACGCUGAGGCACGAAAGCGUGGGUAGCGAACAGGAUUAGAUACCCUAGUAGUC